GUAACCAUUGCUGCCACAAGCACAAAUAAUCAAUACACAUUUCAUUUUUCCUUUCCUCUUAUGAUCUCAAGGUUAAAAACACUUACCCAUCAUUUGUCUUGCUUUAAACUACCAUACUUCUAAGUUUAACCCACAUGCAUACACCCAGUUCUUUGAAUCCUUGUAGAUCCUUGCUACCACAAGCAUAACCUCACAUCACAACUGGUUCACAAG
rnacentral:lncRNA from 1 species